ACGAAUGGCGUAAUGAUGGCCAGGCUGUCUCCACCCGAGACUCAGUGAAAUUGAACUCGCUGUGAAGAUGCAGUGUACCCGCGGCAAGACGGAAAGACCCCGUGAACCUUUACUAUAGCUUGACACUGAACAUUGAGCCUUGAUGUGUAGGAUAGGUGGGAGGCUUUGAAGCGUGGACGCCAGUCUGCGUGGAGCCGACCUUGAAAUACCACCCUUUAAUGUUUGAUGUUCUAACGUGGACCCGUUACCCGGGUUGCGGACAGUGUCUGGUGGGUAGUUUGACUGGGGCGGUCUCCUCCUAAAGAGUAACGGAGGAGCACGAAGGUUGGCUAAUCCUGGUCGGACAUCAGGAGGUUAGUGCAAUGGCAUAAGCCAGCUUGACUGCGAGCGUGACGGCGCGAGCAGGUGCGAAAGCAGGUCAUAGUGAUCCGGUGGUUCUGAAUGGAAGGGCCAUCGCUCAACGGAUAAAAGGUACUCCGGGGAUAACAGGCUGAUACCGCCCAAGAGUUCAUAUCGACGGCGGUGUUUGGCACCUCGAUGUCGGCUCAUCACAUCCUGGGGCUGAAGUAGGUCCCAAGGGUAUGGCUGUUCGCCAUUUAAAGUGGUACGCGAGCUGGGUUUAGAACGUCGUGAGACAGUUCGGUCCCUAUCUGCCGUGGGCGCUGGAGAACUGAGGGGGGCUGCUCCUAGUACGAGAGGACCGGAGUGGACGCAUCACUGGUGUUCGGGUUGUCAUGCCAAUGGCACUGCCCGGUAGCUAAAUGCGGAAGAGAUAAGUGCUGAAAGCAUCUAAGCACGAAACUUGCCCCGA
rnacentral:rRNA from 1 species